rnacentral:lncRNA from 1 species
UGCUCUUUUGUUUUUGUUUUUGUUUUUCCUUUCCUUCACUGAGCCGAGGGUCGAUUGGAAACAGCCUCUUUGCCAUUUCGGGUAGGGGUAAGGCUCGUCUACAUAUUACCCUCCCCAGACCCUACUUUGUGGGACUAUACUGGGUAGUUGUUGUUGUUGUUGAUCAGUUUUUGAAAAAAAUUUGAAAUAUUUUCUCAAGUUAAACCAGUUUUUGGGUUAAAAAUUUUCUUCUACUCACAGAACUUCAUCUUUUUUUUCAAAUAAAAUGCAUGUCCAAACACAACUUCUAACUUCCCAAAAUUAUUUUUCAGCACAACUUCAAUUUUUUUUUUUUCAAGUUUCAACCUUAUUUAUGUCCAAACGCUAUCUUAGUGUUUGAUUGUCCAAACUCCAAACUGUAAAACAUGAUUCUCAUAUCAACUACACUUCUAAAAAUUUACCCAACCAAACAGUUGGAAAUUUGAUUUUAAAUGGUAAAGAUCUUUAGAGUCACAUUAGUGAUGCAGUGUAGUCCUCAACCUUUCCGGAGAUAUAUUGAUGACGUGAGUGUAUACUAAAGCAGUAGUUUAUGAUCUUCUAAAGGAAAUUAGAACUUUAAACAGGAGCACCUACACUGUAAUUACUGAAACAGACAUCAAUAGCAUCACAAAAUUAAUCAGUUUAUUCUUGAUGAAUUUGCAAGUUAUUUCUCUUAACCUUAAAAUAAGUUUCAACUUUUAUUAGAUAAACAAUUAGCCAAAAGCUGAGGUGCAUGUUUAGAUGCUAUUCAUACUUCAACUGUAAUCUUUUUGUCAUAUUUAAUUUCUAGCCAUGUAUUAGUGUACAAGGUCCCGAGGGAGGUGCUAUGGAGGUGCUUGGAGGCGAAGAGUGUGCCAGAAGCCUAUNNN